CAAGAGAUCUAGCUGCGCACUAGAGACCCAAAGAAUCCAGCCAAAGUCCUGGAUCCCAAAGCAGUGUCCUGCACAAACCCAGCUGAACUGCUAGAAUCCAAGGCAGUGUCUUCCCAGAGUCCAGCCAGUGGCCCAGAGCCCACGGCAAUGUCUCAUGUUUGUCCCUAUCACGGAUCCACACCCGGAAGGCCCAAAGGCCAGUAUUAGAAGCCAGAGCUAGAACGCUAGAGCUCCCUUGAGGAGAACAGCAGCCAUUUCCAGCGACAGCUAGGACCCGAGCACCUCUCCGAGGACUAGAAUAGCGAAGUUCGCAUCAGGAAAACCAACCGCUGCAAGCUUCUCCUAGAAAAUCAACAGGAGCGGAUCCUCCACUCCUGUCCUCUUUUAUGCUGCUGCUAACACUCCUCAGAUUUCCCCUGCUAAUAAAGGCAAAGAUAAUGAAGCUGGCAGACAAGAUUAUUUUCUGGAGUUUUCAAGAAAAAGUCCAGGACAUCUGCAAAGGGUGAAGGUUAGGAGCUCAGCUCAGUAUGCCCAGGGCAGUCAGAAUGGAAGAAGGAACUACAGCCCGGAAGAAGAAGAAAGAAGGAAGAUGAAGGAGGAAGAAGGAGGAGGAAAAAGAAGAAAGAGGAGGAAGGAGAAAGAGGAAUAAAGAAGGAG